GACGAACGCUGGCGGCGUGCUUAACACAUGCAAGUCGAACGGAAAGGCCCUGCUUUUGUGGGGUGCUCGAGUGGCGAACGGGUGAGUAACACGUGAGUAACCUGCCCUUGACUUUGGGAUAACUUCAGGAAACUGGGGGUAAUACCGGAUAGGAGCUCCUGCUGCAUGGUGGGGGUUGGAAAGUUUCGGCGGUUGGGGAUGGACUCGCGGCUUAUCGGCUUGUUGGUGGGGUAGUGGCUUACCAAGGCUUUGACGGGUAGCCGGCCUGAGAGGGUGACCGGCCACAUUGGGACUGAGAUACGGCCCAGACUCCUACGGGAGGCAGCAGUGGGGAAUAUUGCACAAUGGGCGGAAGCCUGAUGCAGCAACGCCGCGUGCGGGAUGACGGCCUUCGGGUUGUAAACCGCUUUCGCCUGUGACGAAGCGUGAGUGACGGUAAUGGGUAAAGAAGCACCGGCUAACUACGUG
rnacentral:rRNA from 1 species